CAAAAUGGCGGAUAAACGCAAUAAAUUUAGAAUUUAUUAAUGAAAAGUUAAAUAAGACAAGCACUAGCAACUUUCAUAAUUAUGUU
rnacentral:tRNA from 1 species